rnacentral:lncRNA from 1 species
CGGAUCUUAAAUUGGACCUGUUGGGUUUUUAAGUGAAACCAUGGACGAUACCCAAUGGCCGGAACCGGAGCUGCUAUCAGCAGUGUAACAACUUUGAUGAGGCUUAGAAGUACCGAACCACAGUGCAUUUUUAGCAAAUGGGUUGACAGAGUAGAAAAUGAGGAAGAAAAUAGAUGCGUACUUAAGUUUUGUGGUGGCGAUGAGUAUAUAUAGUGUCCAGUGAUGAGUUUUAUAGGGCACUGAUUUGCAGGGGGAGAUGAAGGACAGUGAGAUUCUU